rnacentral:rRNA from 1 species
UACGUAGGGGGCAAGCGUUGUCCGGAAUCAUUGGGCGUAAAGCGCGUGUAGGCGGUUCGAUAAGUCUGCUGUGAAAGUCCAGGGCUCAACCCUGGAAGGCCGGUGGAAACUGUCGGGCUAGAGUCCGGAAGAGGCGAGUGGAAUUCCCGGUGUAGCGGUGAAAUGCGCAGAUAUCGGGAGGAACACCAAUGGCGAAGGCAGCUCGCUGGGACGGUACUGACGCUGAGACGCGAAAGCGUGGGGAGCAAACAGG